CGCCGCGUGCGGGAUGAAGGCCUUCGGGCUGUAAACCGCUUUCAGCAGGAACGAAAAUGACGGUACCUGGANAAGAAGGAGCGGCCAACUACUUGCCAGCAGCCNCGGUGACACGUAAGGCUCCAAGCGUUGUCCGGAUUUAUUGGGCGUAAAGAGCUCGUAGGCGGUUUAGUAAGUCGGGUGUUAAAACUCUGGGCUCAACCCGGAGAGGCCAUCCGAUACUGCUGUGUCUUGAGUUCAGGAGGGGAGCGGGGAAUUCCUAGUGUAGCGGUGAAAUGCGCAGAUAUUAGUAGGAACACCGGUGGCGAAGGCACCCCUCUGGACUGAAACUGACGCUGAGGAGCGAAAGCAUGGGUAGCAAACAGGAUUAGAUACCCUGGUAGUCCAUGCCGUAAACGAUGGGCACUAGGUGUGGGUUCC
rnacentral:rRNA from 1 species